UCAAAAUGGAUUUUUUUUUUUUUAAAUUUGAAAAUAUAUCCAGUUCGGCUAACUGUUUGACAUGGAUGAGAAGUAAUGGGUUGCUGAAAAAGGACAAAUAUUGUGAUGACUAUAAAAUAUGGUUUUCCCAAGUAAGAGACAGUGAAAAGGUGGACCAGUGUAUCUUCAGAUAUUUCAAAUGCAGACAAAAUUACAUAUCGACUGAACAGUUUCUACUUAAGUUCACACCUACAUUUUACCCCUCAAGACAAUAUUGACAAUUAUGUGCUUUUUCGUGAUGGUAGUAUCCAUGAAGACAAAUGAAAAUGUUACCUGGAAUUAUAAGUAAAACCAUGAUAGACCGGUUCAACUUAUGCAGGAAUAUUUAUAGCUGGAAAAUAUUAGCAGAUACCUAAACACUUAUGGUAGUUAUAGUUGAGAUCGACCAAAGCAAGUUUGGAAGAAAGAGAAAGUAUGCAAAGGGAAGUACACGCAAUCAGGAAGGAACAUGGGUGUUUUACAUGAUUGGAAGAAAGAGGCAAAAACUUUUUAUAUUUGCAGUAAGAGACAGAAAAAGAGAACAGACCCAUAUCAAAUCCGGGGCAACUGUCCAUUCCGACGAACUUCAACUUAUUUCAAUAUAAAAGAUGUUGGAUACAAUCACAAAACCGUAAACCAUUCUGAAGAAUUUGUGUCAGCAAAGGGAAUACACACUUAUACAUGUUAUACAAUUGAAGGCUUUAGGGUUUUUUUUUUUGCUUUUCGAGCCAACGGUUGAUGAUGUAUUUCAGACACUUUAUUUAAUACUGAACACCUGUUGAUAUGUAGAAAUGUUUGUCAUUUAAAUAAGUAACAAAAACGUACAUUGUAUACACAUGGCAGAUUGCAUACAAAUACGAUCGUGAAAUCGAUGUAAGGUAGUAUUGUUUAUUACCAAUGCUAUACAAUAUCAAAUUACCAGUUUUGACGUGAUAACAGAUAUAUAUAUUUCAACCUAGUGUAUUGACAAGGACAUAUGAUUCAAAUUUAAACGGAAAAAUGGAUCAGUUUUUAUUGACAAACAUGGUACACAAUAGCAAUGAACAAAACAAGUCUAUGAAUCUAAAGAAUGUUUUGUUAUUCAUUUUUAACUGUUUAUAUAAUUACUUAGUUUUAAAUAAAUCUGAUGAAAGAUAGAUGAUAAAAUUUAUCAAGUGUUUUAUAUUUUAUUUUUUAAUGUUUAGGUUUUAUUAAAGUGAUAAAUUUCUAAUGUCAUAGAAUAAUCCUCCGAAGAUACUAAGACCUUGUUGAUAAAUAUUCCGUAUCAACUUCACUAAUAAUACAUGAUGGUCUAGAAGUAUACAAUUUAGCUUACGUUGUUUAUCAUCUUAAUAAAGUGUUCUUUUAUUUG